rnacentral:rRNA from 1 species
AGUGAACGCUGGCGGUAGGCCUAACACAUGCAAGUCGAACGGCAGCACAGUAAGAGCUUGCUCUUACGGGUGGCGAGUGGCGGACGGGUGAGGAAUACAUCGGAAUCUACUUUUUCGUGGGGGAUAACGUAGGGAAACUUACGCUAAUACCGCAUACGACCUACGGGUGAAAGCAGGGGAUCUUCGGACCUUGCGCGAUUGAAUGCGCCGAUGUCGGAUUAGCUAGUUGGCGGGGUAAAGGCCCACCAAGCCGACGAUCCGUAGCUGGUCUGAGAGGAUGAUCAGCCACACUGGAACUGAGACACGGUCCAGACUCCUAAGGGAGGCAGCAGUGGGGAAUAUUGGACAAUGGGCGCAAGCCUGAUCCAGCCAUACCGCGUGGGUGAAGAAGGCCUUCGGGUUGUAAAGCCCUUUUGUUGGGAAAGAAAAGCAGCAGGUUAAUACCCCGCUGUUCUGACGGUACCCAAAGAAUAAGCACCGGCUAACUUCGUG